UCACCACGCUUCCAGGAAAAGCCACUAAGCUUCAGCUGUAGAAAAACCGUACCGUAAACCGACACUGGUAGGCAGGGUGAGAAUCCCAAGGCGCUUGAGAGAACUCGGGUGAAGGAACUAGGCAAAAUGGCACCGUAACUUCGGGAGAAGGUGCGCCCUUUGGUGUGGUCACGUGCGUGACUGAGCAUCGAAGGGUCGCAGUAACCUGGCCGCUGCGACUGUUUAUCGAAAACACAGCACUCUGCAAACACGAAAGUGGACGUAUAGGGUGUGACGCCUGCCCGGUGCUGGAAGGUUAAUUGAUGGGGUCAGCCGCAAGGCGAAGCUCUUGAUCGAAGCCCCAGUAAACGGCGGCCGUAACUAUAACGGUCCUAAGGUAGCGAAAUUCCUUGUCGGGUAAGUUCCGACCUGCACGAAUGGCGUAACGACAGCGGCGCUGUCUCCACCCGAGACUCAGUGAAAUUGAAAUCGCUGUGAAGAUGCAGCGUUCCCGCGGCAAGACGGAAAGACCCCGUGAACCUUUACUAUAGCUUUACAUUGAACGUUGAGUUCUUCUGUGUAGGAUAGGUGGGAGGCUAUGAAACCGAGACGCUAGUUUCGGUGGAGCCAUCCUUGAAAUACCACCCUGAAGUGCUUGACGUUCUAACCUAGGUCCGUAAUCCGGAUCGGGGACCAUGUAUGGUGGGUAGUUUGACUGGGGCGGUCUCCUCCCAAAGAGUAACGGAGGAGCACGAAGGUACGCUCAGCGCGGUCGGACAUCGCGCACUGUGUGCAAAGGCAUAAGCGUGCUUGACUGCGAGAUCGACGGAUCAAGCAGGUACGAAAGUAGGUCUUAGUGAUCCGGUGGUUCUGUAUGGAAGGGCCAUCGCUCAACGGAUAAAAGGUACUCCGGGGAUAACAGGCUGAUACCGCCCAAGAGUUCAUAUCGACGGCGGUGUUUGGCACCUCGAUGUCGGCUCAUCACAUCCUGGGGCUGUAGCCGGUCCCAAGGGUAUGGCUGUUCGCCAUUUAAAGUGGUACGCGAGCUGGGUUCAGAACGUCGUGAGACAGUUCGGUCCCUAUCUGUCGUGGGCGUUGGAGAUUUGAGGGGGGCUGCUCCUAGUACGAGAGGACCGGAGUGGACGUUCCGCUGGUGUUCGGGUUGUCAUGCCCAUGGCAUUGCCCGGUAGCUACGAACGGAAGUGAUAACCGCUGAAAGCAUCUAAGCGGGAAGCACGCCCCAAGAUGAGAUCUCCCGAGAGCUAGACUCUCCUUAAGGCACCAUCAAGACUAGGUGGUUGAUAGGCACGGUGUGGAAGUGCAGCAAUGCAUUGAGCUUACGUGUACUAAUGAGCCGUGAGGCUUGACCU
rnacentral:rRNA from 1 species